UCUCUUCUCCCAAGUGACAUUCAGCUCCCCGCCAAACUACAGCCAUGAAGAUACUUUACCUUCUAUUUGCUCUCUUCUUCUUGGUGGCACAAAGUAGUGCACAAGGUUCUGACCGUCGUGUCUCUAGCCCUGCGGCAUGUUUUCGUCUUGGGGGUGGAUGCUUCCUUUCCCGAUGUCCUUACGGAUCCAGGACCUUGGGACGUUGCAAUAGGCGUUUUGUUUGCUGUAGAUGUUGUAGAUGGCACUGCUACUGAAUGAUGGCUUCAUAGAUUGUCAAUGCAGGACCUCUGGGAAUCUGGCAGACAACGCUUUGCUUCUAAAAUCCACGGGGGAGCAUUUGUAUUCCCCAUAAUAGCUUGUUCUUGUCCUUUUAAUAAAAAUAACUGGUUGCGGUGGU